AGGACGAACGCUGGCGGCGUGCUUAACACAUGCAAGUCGAACGAUGAAGGAGGAGCUUGCUCCUCCGGAUUAGUGGCGAACGGGUGAGUAAUACGUGAGCAAUGUGCCCUUGACUCUGGGAUAAGCGCUGGAAACGGCGUCUAAUACCGGAUACGACCCUCGGAGACAUCUCCUGUGGGUGGAAAGAACUUCGGUCAAGGAUCAGCUCACGGCCUAUCAGCUAGUUGGUGAGGUAACGGCUCACCAAGGCGACGACGGGUAGCCGGCCUGAGAGGGUGACCGGCCACGACUGGGACUGAGACACGGCCCAGACUCCUACGGGAGGCAGCAGUGGGGAAUAUUGCACAAUGGGCGCAAGCCUGAUGCAGCAACGCCGCGUGAGGGACGACGGCCUUCGGUGUAAACUCUUUAGCAGGAAGAAGCGAGAGUGACGGUACCUGCAGAAAAAGCAACCGGACUAACUACGUAGCCAAGCAGACCGCGGUAAA
rnacentral:rRNA from 1 species